GCUGGAACUGUAGCUAACGAUGAUUCGACAGAAUGUGUUUUGGGAGAAUGCUCAGCGGGAACUGUAGCUAAUGAUGAUUUGACAGAAUGUGAUGAAUGCUUAGCAGGAACAUACAGAGACGCACACAUGUCUUCCUGUGAUAGUUGUGAUGAGAACUCUGUCAGUACUGCAGGAGCAUCUUCUUGUACUGCUUGUAAUGCUGGAACUGUAGCUAAUGAUGA